GGGUCCGGAAGCUUUUUGCUGCCGGAGGAUUUAGAUGGUCGGGCCGCCAUCU
rnacentral:ncRNA from 1 species